UACGUAGGGUGCGAGCGUUUAAUCGGAAUUACUGGGCGUAAAGCGUGCGCAGGCGGCGCCGCAAGUCAGGCGUGAAAUCCCCGAGCUUAACUUGGGAAUGGCGCUUGAAACUACGGUGCUGGAGUGUGGCAGAGGGAGGUGGAAUUCCACGUGUAGCGGUGAAAUGCGUAGAGAUGUGGAGGAACACCGAUGGCGGAAGGCAGCCUCCUGGGCCAACACUGACGCUCAUGCACGAAAGCGUGGGGAGCAAACAGG
rnacentral:rRNA from 1 species